AUGAGAGGAAGCAAUAGCUCUCUGUCGUCCUUGUCACGAAGACAACCAUGGAAAUUGAUAAAUAUUGCUGAUCUCCCGGAUGCUGUAUUGAUUGAAGUAGUUUGUCGACUAUCUUGCAGUAAACUAAUUUUUCGAUGCAAGUGCGUGUGCAAGCGUUGGCUCACCCUCAUCUCCGAUCCUUAUUUUGUUGACCACUAUCUACGUCACCAAAGUGAUAAGAAAAGACACAUAAUACGUACCCUGAUAUAUGCAAGGGAAUACGUGGUAAGACUGAGAUUCCACCCUUGGACAAACCCAACUGUUGUAGCGACAUAUAAUGACUUAAUGUUGUGUUAUGGAAACUUGAACCGUUACUGCAUAUGCAAUCCAUGCACAAUGCAAUGGGUUGCUCUUCCUCGCAUUCCCACUUACACCGUACACCGCCACUUUGAGGUACGAGUGGGAUUCAUCUGCGAUACCCCCUGCUAUAACUACAAGGAAGACGAACACGAAGAUCAGAAAGGAGAUGUCAUGCAGCAUAAUGCUGCGUAUAGGUGCAAGGUUGUGAGAAUUCGUCCUCCAGAGAAGGGUUAUUAUGAUUUUUCCUUCGAAUGGAAAGUGGACAUUUUCUCUUCCGAGACUGGUGAAUGGAGGAAGGCAGUUGUAUCGUCCCCACGAGCCAUUACUUUGAAUGGUCUUGGCUUUCCUCACCAAGGAAUAUUGUACUGGUUGGGUCGGGAGGAAAAUGGUUGCUCUAUUAUUUUUGGGUUGGAUCCGUUUUGUGAUAAACCUAAGUGUUUUUUCAUUGCACUUGAUGAGCCUUUAAACGACCUUCGGCACUUUGGUGUUUGCGGAGGUUGCAUACGGAUGUGUGGCUUAGACAUGGCUACCAGAAGUCUGAUUGUAUUUUAUUUGAAAACAGAAGAAGAUGGCAAAUUGUGUUUGAGUAAACGCAUGGUUUAUUCGUUGGACCAAAAUAUGUACCUGGAUAAUGAAUCGAAUGUUAGCCUGCGACCCUUCGAUCCAAACAAUGAGGAUGUUUGCUAUAUAUACGUGUAUGGAGAAUGUGUCAAGUACAAGUACAAUUUUCGUACCAGAAAGUGGUCAACGAUCGUUGAAGAGAUUCCACACCAAAUUUCCUACAGCUUUGUGCAUGUGCAGCCAUGGUGGCCAACACCAGUUCCUAGACUCCCACAACAUGCAUGCCCAGCAGAAU
rnacentral:lncRNA from 1 species